GACCUGGUAGCUCAGCUGGUAGAGCAUCUCCCUUUUAAGGAGAGGGUCCUGGGUUCGAGCCCCAGCCAGGUCACCU
rnacentral:tRNA from 1 species